UACGUAGGGGGCAAGCGUUGUCCGGAUUUAUUGGGCGUAAAGAGCGUGUAGGCGGCUGGGUAGGUCCGUUGUGAAAACUCGAGGCUCAACCUCGAGACGCCGAUGGAAACCCUCCAGCUAGAGUCCGGAAGAGGAGAGUGGAAUUCCUGGUGUAGCGGUGAAAUGCGCAGAUAUCAGGAAGAACACCCGUGGCUAAGGCGGGUCUCUGGACAGUUCCUGACGCUGAGGCACGAAGGCCAGGGGAGCAAACGGG
rnacentral:rRNA from 1 species